rnacentral:pre_miRNA from 1 species
AAGAUACUCCCUCUGUCCGAAAAUACUUAUCAGCAAAAUGAAUAAAAAAGAAUGUAUCUAGAACUAAUAUACAUCUAAAUACAUCCCCUUCUAUUCAUUUUGAUGACAAGUAUUUUCGGACAGUGGGAGUACCAC